CAUUAUGUUUUAUUACGCGCGUGUAGUGGUUUGGGAUGUAGUGAUUCUAUAGAAGCUGUGUAUUAGAGCACUGGUGAUUAAUGUCCGAGAUAGUUGAAUGAGUUCGGCUAAAAAAAGUUCAUAAAGUGUACACGAAUAUAAAAAAAAAUACGCUUUUAUCAUGGAUAUAGUUCUAUAACAGCAUUGAUUUUGUGAUAACUCGGCUAAACAAAAUAUCGAUAUAGGUUAUUAUACCAAGGCAAAUUUGAAGCAUUUUUCAUUCCUGUGUGCGAGUAAUAAUAUCACGAGGCAAAAUUCUGGGUCAUACCUGUGACUGUACUAAUUGACUAGUGCUUUAAUUUGUUUGGUUUAUUCAUAGCUCAGGACGUGAUUUGUCUCCAUUAUCAGAUAUAGAAAACCAAAUGGAGGCCGACACUGCAAACCAACAGGAAAUGGCGCUUACAAGCAAUAUAAAUUCAGAUACAGGAAGAAAAAAUACUGUAAAAAGAGGCGUUAUCCGAAUGGCCAGCUUUUUGUUUUGGUCAAACUUUACCGCUUUCGUUUCGUUAACGAUUGGGUGUUUUGCUCCUGGAUGGGAUUCUUAUGGAGGGAUUCACUAUUCUCUUUGGUAUUUCACAUACUGUGACUCACCGCAUGUUGACAAAUACUACGCCUUUCCAUCUCCUAUCAAGUGUGUGACGAUGACGUAGUCAGAUUGGUUAUUCUCCGAGAGUACACAAAGAUCUCGAUGAAGCAGACUUUGCGCAAGCGGAAGUGCUAUAUUGCAUCGGAAUGAUUUUGUCUUUUGCCACAUUGAUAAAAUUUUACCAACACAGACAGAAAGUUGCCAGGGGUAUUGGUGAUGAAUUUCGUUUAAAAAAAUGGGCUUUUCUUCUAAUUUUGUCAAGCCUCUCAGCUGUACUUGUUUUUCUUCCCGUCGGAAUGUUUCAUGGAAACAUUAGAGGCACCCUGUCGUCUAUAACCCAGUUAAUUGGAAAAGCUACUGCUGGAUUUGGUGGAGCAGUGAUGGCAUUGACUGCUACGUCAAUGUUUUUAUGUUGUCCAGCUCUUCCCUGCAGUGUCUUUAAGUAUGAUUAUACAGCCUGUCAGCCUGUGUAAUACAAUCAAUCUUCGUGUAGUGUUUGCAGCAUUCCCACCGACUGUGUCUAUAGCAACAUGAGGUCUUCAUCGACACACGUGAAAGAGCGGGGUCUAAUGCUUACUUGACUUUUACAUAUGUUUAGUUAUCAUCAUCAUCUGUCGCUCAUCAUCGUCACAUAUCUCCCCUUUGCACUGAUGACACUUGCCUAGGAUAUUGCUACCAAAUAGUUUAUAAUACAAAUUUGUUUAAAUAACUGAGCAGAUGUUUAUAAUAGUUGUUUAUCUAGAUUCUACUAUAAUUAUAGCUUUUAAAAUAUUUUCAGAACUUGAAGCAAUAAGAUUGUAGUUAUAUUUCAUACAUUUUAUGUUAAAACAUCGUAGAGAUUUUAAUUUUGUUUUUAAUUGAAAGUAGGUCGCCAAUUACUGACAUUGCUAGUAUAGGCAAGAAUUGAUGUAGACAUGCAUUACAUGAAAGUAG